GCUACUUUUAGUAAUAUGGAAACAUUAAAAACGAAUACUAUAUAGAACAUGGACAACACAUACUAUAUAUGAAAUAAAAAAUUGUAUGGGAGGAAGGGUUUAUAACUUCAGGUGGAUGCUGAACAGAUAAUUCUUCAGAGCAAGCUUUAUAAAAAGCCAAAGUAGAUGGUGUGGGGUAGAGGGUGAAAGGGGAUGAGUGAAGGCUCCUGGAAUGAAGCUCCAACUUUGCAACUUGAGAGUUCAGUGAUCAGAGGCAUAUUUCAAUGUCUUUUUAGGCGAGAUAUAUAACAUACCUUUCCUAACCCAUGAUAUUUUUAAGAUUAAAAACUGAAGGUGAGUAAAUCUGGAAACUGAAACACAAUGCAAAUCUUGAAGCAUGAAGCAAAUAUUUAUAAUUAUUCUCACUGGUCUUCAUGCUAGUAAUGAUGAUGCCAUUGAAUCUUGAAGGUCCUUAGUAUUGAAGAAUCUGCUAUCAACAAGUAUAUAAGCAUAGAAGGGCACAGAGGUUAAAUGUUCUUGGACAGAUAUUACUGCUGUUACCUGGAAGUGGUAGAAAUGAGACCCAGGGAGAAUGUUCCAUUUGAAGAAGAGGGGGUACUGAUGCCAUGUGGCUGUGAUCAUCUUCCUAUAUCUCAAAGACUUUGCCCUAAACAUUGUUGCAUUUCCUUAAAGAAAAGAUCAAGAGUUGAGAUUAAACUUGACUUAAAACGCCAGAUAUUUGCCAGAACCUCUAGGAAAUUGAUGAAAUAUUCCUGUCUGAAGGCUGCAACCAAACAUGAUCUCAUCCAUAUCAGCAGCAUUACUAAUAAAACACCAAGGUGCUUCCUGACCUCCAGGAGAGAUGUGUUAAAUUGGAUGGCAGAAAUAAGUCACUGGAACAAAAUGCUUGAGAAAGAACCUUCUCUGCUCCCUACUUUCUUAAAAAUACACUCACAUGUUCUCCCAUAUACCAAAACAAUUAUUCUAGAUUGGAGAUAUUUAAGGAUUCACACUUACGUAAAGGCAUAGGUCUGCUGUCAUUGAUGGAAAUCCACCUCUACAGUGCACUGACAUUAUGCAAAAGCAUCUGCUACUACAGAGGGACUGCAAACCAACUGGUACGCAGGGCUCUGGAUUGGUACAGGGUAGAGGUCUUCUUUUGCUAGGGAGAGGCAGAAAAGUCAUUCUCACCAAAUACCCCAUUGUCUUAGUCCAUUUACACUGCUAUGAGAAAACACCACAGACUGGGUAGCUUUUAAAACACAGAAAUUGAUUUAUCAUUGUUUUGGAGGCUGGGAAGUCUAAGACCAAGGCACCAGCAUAUUUAGUGUCUGGUGAGAGCCUGCUUCCUGGGAUCAUCUUUUCACUGUGUCUUUGGUGAAAGGGGUGAAUGAGCUUGCCGUAGUCUCUUUUUUAAAAGGGCACUAAUCCUACCGUGAGGGCUCUACACUCAAGACCCAGUCACCUUCCAAAGGCCCUACCUCCAAAUAUCAUCACAUGGGUCGUUGGGAUUUAACAUAUGAAUUCUGGGGGGAACACAAAUAUUCAAGCUAAAGCACCCACCAAUAUAGGACAGAGUUUGGCUGGCAUGGAAUGAGGGUGGGGUGCUCACUCUUUAGACUCUGUAUUUGAGGAGAAAGCAAAGCUUGUUUGACAGUGGGAAUGGAACAAAAAUGAUGAGAAAUCUCAUCCUUUGAUGCUCAGGUGCUCAUGACUUGCUGAAGACUGAUACUGGAACAGAAGAGCUGAGAAACACACCUGCCCCCUACCUCAAGCCCUGCACCAAGUAAAAGUCAGCAGAAAUAUACCCUGGGGAAAGGGCUAGAGUGUGACUGGAGAUCUUGCUGAAAGCUGGAGGUGGAGGAGGAAUACAAAGAAAAGAUUUUAGUACUCCAGGCUUCACAGUAAGUAAAAGUAGCAGUCAUCUACUACUAGAGAAUUUUGAAGUCUCUGGUAGACUGAAAGUAACUAGAGCAACAUAUAACCAAACACAAGACAGCUACUGGAAUGAUUGGACCGAGUGACCUGACAGAAGAAGAAGCAUGCCCAUUUCCAGAAAUAAAUCCUUUUUAUAUCAGUCUCUCUAUACACCAUGUCUACCAUUCAACAAAACUUAUGAGAGACAAGGAAAAAACAACCCUCAUUGUCCAGAGGCAAAAGUAAUCAACAGAAACAGAUUGAGAAAUGAUCUGGUGGCUGGAAUUAUUACACAGUAAUUUAAAACUAACUAUAAUAUGUUUAAUGACAUAGUAGAUGAGAUAAAUGGGAUGCAUGAACAGAUAAGGAAUUUCAGAGAGAUUACAACUUUAUGAAGGAGUCAAAUGGAAAUGCUAGAAAUGAAAAAUGCCAUAUCAGAAAUAAAUAAUUUUAUCAAUUAGCCUAUAAGCAGACUGGAUACAGAAAAAAAAAAAAUCAAUGAUCUUGGAGACAGGUAAAUAGGAAUUAUGACAAUGGUAAUGCAAAGAAAAAAUGAUGGUAAACAGUAAAGCUUCCAACAGAUUUGAGCUAUUUAAUAUUUAUAAAACAUUCUCCUCAACAAUAGCUGAAUACAAAUUUACAUUAAAUGCAACAGAAUAUUUACCAAGUUGUAUCAUUUUCAGGAUGAUAAAAGAAAAUUCAAUAAAUGUUAAAAGAUUAAAAUCAUAUAUGAUUUAUGAUUUCAGCAAAAUAAAACUAAAAUCCAAAAGCAGCAUGAUGGGGGUUUUCCCCCAGCUUUAUUGAAGUAAAAUUAACAAAUAAAAACGUGUAUGUUCAAGGUGUACAACUUCAUAUUUUGAGAUAUAUGUGUGUGUGUAUAUAUAUAUACACACACACACACACACAUUAUGUAAUAAUUACCACAAGCUAAUUAACCUAUUCAACACCAUGAGUGCAUGCGCACACACACACAUUCACAUCACAAGAGGAAAUAGAAAAUACUCUGAAUAACAAAACAAACAUUAGA
rnacentral:lncRNA from 1 species